UUCAGAACUCUUCUCCAAGCAAUCCUCACCAUCGUUCUCCACUUCCAUCAUCAUAGAAAUCUCACUAACUAUUUCAGGACUCUGUUUCUCUCCAAGUUAUCCUCACCAUCGUUCUCCACUUCCAUCGUCACAGAAAUUCCCUACUCUACCACCAAUGGAGUCGCUUCACCCGCUGCACUUUGCCUUGACGACCGCCUUACCACUGUGUUCCUUUAGUUCUAUUUUCAGGCACAUGAGAACCGAGAUACAAUGAAAAAGUGAAGAGACAUUGCCACAGUCCAGCAAGUUAAGGAAUAAUCUGCCGUGGAUCUGGCUUCUUUCUCAGGUUUGCUGUUGUCCAAUGAAAAGUUGUAUACACAAGACAUGAUUCAAUCCGCUGAUACUUGCUUAAGCGAACAAGUUGGGAGUUAUCUAAUGGGAUACAUUCACUAUAUGCAAAUAGCCACCCACUUAUGGUUGAGAAUACUUAAAGAAACUAAAGAGAAUGACAAGCACCAUGUCUAAGGUGAAUGCUUUUGCUGACAGAAUAGUGAGUCUGCUGAAGCAU